rnacentral:rRNA from 1 species
AGGACGAACGCUGGCGGCGUGCUUAACACAUGCAAGUCGAGCGGAAAGGCCCUUCGGGGUACUCGAGCGGCGAACGGGUGAGUAACACGUGAGUAACCUGCCCCUAGCUCUGGGAUAGCUCCGGGAAACCGGGAUUAAUACCAGAUACGACCACUUUAGACAUCUGUCGUGGUGGAAAGGAUUCCGGCUAAGGAUGGGCUCGCGGCCUAUCAGCUAGUUGGUGGAGUAACGGCCCACCAAGGCGACG